rnacentral:rRNA from 1 species
CAGCAGCCGCGGGAAUACGGAGGGUGCAAGCGUUAAUCGGAAUUACUGGGCGUAAAGCGCACGCAGGCGGUCUGACAAGUCAGAUGUGAAAUCCCCGGGCUUAACCUGGGAACUGCAUUUGAAACUGUCAGGCUGGAGUCUUGUAGAGGGGGGUGGAAUUCCAGGUGUAGCGGUGAAAUGCGUAGAGAUCUGGAGGAAUACCGGUGGCGAAGGCGGCCCCCUGGACAAAGACUGACGCUCAGGUGCGAAAGCGUGGGGAGCAAACAGGAUUAGAUACCCCAGUAGUCCCUGUCUCUUUACA